GAUGAACGCUGGCGACGUGCCUAAUACAUGCAAGUCGAGCGAACAGAUGAGGAGCUUGCUCCUCUGACGUUAGCGGCGGACGGGUGAGUAACACGUGGAUAACCUACCUAUAAGACUGGGAUAACUUCGGGAAACCGGAGCUAAUACCGGAUAAUAUAUUGAACCGCAUGGUUCAAUAGUGAAAGACGGUUUUGCUGUCACUUAUAGAUGGAUCCGCGCCGCAUUAGCUAGUUGGUAAGGUAACGGCUUACCAAGGCAACGAUGCGUAGCCGACCUGAGAGGGUGAUCGGCCACACUGGAACUGAGACACGGUCCAGACUCCUACGGGAGGCAGCAGUAGGGAAUCUUCCGCAAUGGGCGAAAGCCUGACGGAGCAACGCCGCGUGAGUGAUGAAGGUCUUCGGAUCGUAAAACUCUGUUAUUAGGGAAGAACAAAUGUGUAAGUAACUAUGCACGUCUUGACGGUACCCAAUCAGAAAGCCACGGCUAACUACGUG
rnacentral:rRNA from 1 species